AUUGAACGCUGGCGGCAUGCUUUACACAUGCAAGUCGAACGGCAGCGCGGGCUUCGGCCUGGCGGCGAGUGGCGAACGGGUGAGUAAUGCAUCGGAACGUGCCCAGUAGUGGGGGAUAGCCCGGCAAAAGCCGGAUUAAUACCGCAUACGACCUGAGGGUGAAAGCGGGGGACCGAAAGGCCUCGCGCUAUUGGCGCGGCCGAUGUCGGAUUAGCUAGUUGGUGGGGUAAAGGCUUACCAAGGCGACGAUCCGUAGCUGGUCUGAGAGGACGACCAGCCACACUGGGACUGAGACACGGCCCAGACUCCUACGGGAGGCAGCAGUGGGGAAUUUUGGACAAUGGGGGCAACCCUGAUCCAGCCAUGCCGCGUGCGGGAAGAAGGCCUUCGGGUUGUAAAACGCUUUUGUUCGGGAAGAAAUCCUCUGGGCUAAUACCCCGGGGGGAUGACGGUACCGGAAGAAUAAGCACCGGCUAACUACGUG
rnacentral:rRNA from 1 species